UACAGAGGUCUCAAGCGUUGUUCGGAUUCAUUGGGCGUAAAGGGUGCGUAGGUGGCGCGCUAAGUCGGGUGUGAAAUCUCGGGGCUUAACUCCGAAACUGCAUUCGAUACUGCCGUGCUUGAGGACUGGAGAGGAGACUGGAAUUUACGGUGUAGCGGUGAAAUGCGUAGAUAUCGUAAGGAAGACCAGUGGCGAAGGCGGGUCUCUGGACAGUUCCUGACGCUGAGGCACGAAGGCCAGGGGAGCAAGCGGG
rnacentral:rRNA from 1 species